UACGUAGGGGGCAAGCGUUGUCCGGAUUUACUGGGCGUAAAGGGCGCGUAGGCGGCGCAACAAGUCACUUGUGAAAUCUCCGGGCUUAACCCGGAGCGGUCAAGUGAUACUGUCGUGCUAGAGUGCGGAAGGGGCUACUGGAAUUCUCGGUGUAGCGGUGAAAUGCGUAGAUAUCGAGAGGGAACACCUGCGGCGAAGGCGGGUAGCUGGGCCGACACUGACGCUGAUGCGCGAAAGCCAGGGGAGCGAACGGG
rnacentral:rRNA from 1 species